CCUCCCUCUCACCACUCGCUCGCUCACUCCACUCCCCUCUCAAUUCUCAUGCUCCGCCUCUUUCUCUCUCCUCCCCCAAUCCCUCCACCGCCUCUCUCAACCCGCCAAAGCCACCGCCGCCGCCUCCUCCCCCUCCUUCGGUGCUCUCCCCAGCUCCCCUCCCAUGGCUUCGCCGACGAGCUCGGCCGCCUCCUCGUCCUCCUCCCCCAAGAAAUGAAGCGAAAGCUCGAGGCUCAGCCGGAGCUCGAGGAUCUCGUUGAGGUCGUCAUGGACCUCGGACGUCGCCCCCUUGCUCGAUUCCCUUCCGGCGAUAUCGUCCUCUCUGAUUUCCCUAUCUCGUCUGAGGAUGUCCAUCACGCUGCGUCGCAGGUGGGUGAUUUUGCAGCAGAUAAUCGGGCAGGGAUCAGCCGGACUCUGCACAGGAUCAGUGCAAUCCGCAACCGGAAGGGAGGCAUCGUGGGGCUUACUUGUCGGGUUGGGCGGGCAGUGCCCGGAAGUGCUAACAUGUUGAGGGAUUUGGUUAAGGAUGGGGGUUCUCUGUUGCUCAUUGGGCCGCCUGGUGUUGGAAAGACUACUGUCAUCAGAGAUAUAGCUCGGAUACUUGCAGAUGAUUACAUGAAACGAGUUAUGAUUGUUGAUACCUCUAAUGAGAUUGGUGGAGAUGGUGAUAUUCCUCACCCCGGAAUAGGCAAUGCACGUAGACUACAAGUACCCAAUCCUGAUAUGCAACACAAGGUGUUGAUAGAAGCAGUAGAAAAUCAUAUGCCCGAAGUAAUUGUAAUUGAUGAAGUUGGAACUAAACUUGAAGCUAUGGCUGCUAGUACCAUUGCUCAACGAGGUAUCCAGCUUGUUGCUACUGCUCAUGGAGUUACAAUAGAGAAUUUGUUAAUGAACCCUUCACUAGAGAUGUUAGUUGGAGGAGUACAGAGUGUCACCCUGGGCGAUGAAGAGGCUAGCAGGAGAGGUGUCCAGAAAACUGUCCUUGAGAGGAAAGGGCCGUCAACAUUUACUUGUGCUGCAGAAAUCAUUUCUAAGACCAAACUACAGGUCCAUCGUAGUCUGGAGGCAACUGUGGAUGCUCUUCUUGCAGGGCGAUCCCCAAUUUUUGAAGUAUGCAAGUUAGAUUCAAACGAAUCCAUGAAUGACAUUCUCCAUGUACAAACUGAAUCUUCAAAUGGAGUUGAUGCUCUUCUGGAGGAUGAUGUCACUGUUGAAGAUAACUUUUUGAAGAAUGAUGAAACUAUUACUCUCAACACAUCUAGUCUUGAAUCUGCAGAGAAAAUAACAGAAAGCUCUUCUGAAGCUCGUGCAGGAUUUCACUUAUUUGUUUAUGGGAUCACUGAGACUAGCGUAUUGCAAGCAAUCAAGCAGCUGGGAAUGGAAGAAGAUGUUGGAAUAACAGAUAAUAUCAGCGAAGCUGAUGCAUUUCUUUCCUUGCAUUCCAAGCUCAAGAAGAAUUCUCAAAUUCAAUCAGUUGUCAAAUCUCGUGGAAUUGCAAUCCAUGUAACAAAGACGAGUUCUCUGAUGCAAAUCACAAAGGCAAUUCGUGCUCUUACCAAUGGACGUGUAAAAAGAUUCAAAGAAUUUGAACCAGAGGCUACUAUGACGUCAUUGGAAAAGAAUGAUGCUUUAGAGGAGGCAAGAUUAGCUAUAGAGCAGGUUGUAAUUCCAAAAGAAGAGCAAGUGCAGCUACUUCCAAGGCCAUCAUGUAUCAUCUCUAUGCAGAUAGAGCUCAUAGAAAGAUACAAACUUAAGUGGGAAAAAGUUGGCAGAGAGCCACACUUCAGUCUAUGCAUUCUUCCUCUUCCUUUGGACACAAAAGAGAAAGGGCCUCUCUAUCAAGUUGUAGAUACUGGAAGUGAAUUAGAGGACAUGUUCAGCUUGGAUGACAUGAGCAGUUCACAAAAUGGUGUUGCUAGAUUGCCGCUUCUUCCUGACUAGGUUCAAUUUCACUUUACUCACAGAAGGAGAUUAGCGAAGGCUUCACAGCUUUAUAUACAACUACGCUUUCUUUUGAAAUUCGUGGAACAAUUUGACAAGGCCCUAGAAGAAGGCAAUGUCAUGAGCCCUAGCUGCAAAUUUGCUAGAUAAUUACCUGUCUUCACCGGGCUUCAUUACUAUUACAUUACACUGGAUACUUCAUGAAACUGGAGAUGAGCAUUACGUCCUGCGUUAUCCUUUUCUUUCAACAUUGGUUCAAAGCUUAUGCGUCUUGGAAUUCAAAUCAUCAUAUUAAAUCUAUCUCAAGAAGGCAAAUCUUUCUGGUUACAGUGCAAAUGCCGAGCUCUCUGCACAUCCACGCACUGCGGUAUGAUAAUAUUUCAAAGAAUGCAGCUGAAGGAAGAUAUUGAGGCUGAAACGUGAAGUGGAAAAACACAAAACAUGAAAUCAGGAGCCCGUGCUUUCUCAAAUUCAUUGACAAAAGAGAAGAACCGAUACCGGAGCAAUUCGUCAUGAGGAUCCACGUACAUUAGCAAGCUCCUCUCAAUCUUUGGCUCAUUGUCGAUAUGCCUCUAGGUGAAAUUAAUGAGUUCUUCUGCGGGUGAAAGAGUCAGAAUUUAACCCACGGAUAUAUCGACAACGAUGAAACCGGAGAAAUAAUAAGUUCAAAACAAGAAUAUUACAGAGGUGUUUAUGUGCAAUUAAACCAAAAGGAAUGACAUAGCAUGCUGAUUGAAGCAUGGGAGAAAUUGGCUCCUGCGGUGGGUCAAGAUCAACAAGUCCCUGGAAUCUGGAUGCGGCGGCUCGAUACGGUUGUAAGAGGAAAGAUCAAUAAAGAAGGCUUAAUUGCGCUUACAUCACACUACCAUCAGAAGUUUCCCCUAGAUCAAUAAAGAAGGCUUAAUUGCACUUGCAUCACACUUACAUAUCAGAAGUUUCCCCUAAUUUCCACUUAUAUAUCUUAACUUGUUUUUGACCCGUAGGAAUUUUAUGAGAACCAUCUCUAUAGGAGCGAGAUGAUCUAUACCAUAAAUAGAAGACUUGUAUUCCAAACUAUACUAACCGUUGAUGGGACCACCCUUUUCUAUGGAGUGUUCUGAUAGAAUA